UAUAUUUCUGUGCAUGUGACUUUAUGUAUCUGAAGACUCACAUUUUAAGAGCUACAAGACAGCAAAUUAUUAUCUUAGGGGAACGAUAGUCAAGUGACCAGAGUUACUGAAGAGGAAGAGGGAGAGAGAGAGAAAAGUGUCUGAAUUGUAAAAUUAAGAGAUCAAUUUCAGGAAAGCUCAAAUAGUGUAACUCCAGGUUAAUGACAAGGCAAUGGUAUUUGGGGAAACAGGAAGGCAACAGAUAGAAGAAAGGUUGAAGUCUUGUGGAAUUAAGGGUCCUUCUCAUCAGUUCCAACUUAGAGCAAUUUUAGGAGGAUUUAAUUUCCUCCAGUAGUGUUAACAUAGCUUUGCUGUUAUCAGCAGACCGUGGUGGAAAUGACUGGAAAGCAGUCGGGAACGGAGCUGGAAGAAGGAACAUGACGCUGCUUUCACUAAACUGAAGGAAGUGCCUGUAAAAUGUCCUGCCCUCAAAUUCUCAGGACAAGGCAAGCCUUUUUCAGUAAUGCUUUCCACAUCUGCUGGUUCCGUGGGAGCAGCACCAUUAGAAAACAGAGGGUGAUGGAUUUUACCAUGCCUCCAUCAAAAAGCAUUGGCUGACAAAGUUACAACGUCCCAAUGGAGACUCAAGACGGAGGAGUACAGACAUGCAGCCUGCCAGAAGAACGUCGCCUGCGAGGGGUUGCUAGCCUUGAGCUGUAGGCGCUGAUGCAUACGGCUAGUUCUGUCAGACACGGAGAGGUUUCCUUUACACCCUACAGUGUUUAUAAAUUGUGUUAAUCCUUGGCAUUCAGAACAUCAGGGAAUGACUAUAUGCUGCCAUGAAGAACUACAGGCUACUGCCCUCAGACCUUUGUAAGUUACGGCGUGUCAAGAGCGGCCAGGAGAAUCCAAAUGCCAGCGGAAAGGUUCUCUGCCUGGUCCUGAUGAGGAGGCUUCGGCCGUAGGAAGGUUGGCAGCGUCCUUACCGGACUGCCGAGCAAUAAGCCACAAUUCACGGACCGGCCAAGGAGAGGGGGAAUAGCGACUGGUAGCCCAGUCGCUAUGGCAUUGCUGUUGCUAGCAGGGCUCCGAGGUCUGUGUGAAGCCUCACCUGCCUGUUUGGAAUUUAAUUUUGGUCUGUUUACCUGGAAUAAGCACUGAGGCCUAAAAUAAGAAUUUCUGUGGCUAGACGGGUUACCUGUGACCCCACCUGUCUUUGCCUUGCUUUGCUGCUUAAUGUAACAACAGUAACUUGGGACCCCAGAAUAAAAACUGUUACAAUGUUUAAGGGAGGAUUUGCGUUUGCCCAGGAUAACGUUCCGAGGGCCGGCAACAUGAAGAGGAGCAGCUCAACCUGUUUUGUUGAUUUUGGUGAUGCUGUUGUAAGGAAGCGUGCCGGAGUCAGUUUCCCAUCAGCUCAGUCUCUCCAGAGUAUGGAGUUUUUGGAGGCCUUAGUGUUUAUCCUGCCUUGGCUGGACAGUGCUAUCUGAGAGUGUCUGUCAGCGGCAGUUUCCCUGAGGAGGACCAUCUGCCGAAGACUGGAGGUGGCCGGGUACCUGAGCGAGCCUGAUUGUACAGGAGGGCUGCUGUGACAUCCUUGCAAUGAAAUGGAGCCAGAGAGAGUGACUGAGGCAGCAUAGAGGGUCAGUCAUCAUUGCGGGAACAAUUACGGGCCUUGGGCUAGGGAGUAGUUCCAGGAGAGCUGUGCAGUUGCCUGGCCUCUCAGUAACUGUUCCGGCCUCUUGGCAGGUGCUGAAGGGUGGUCUGGCAGUCGAAGGACCGGCGUCUCAGCUGGGAGCUCCGCAGAGAUCUGCGGCUGGCCACGGAGGACGAGCUCUGACUUGCAGCGUGGACGCAGCUAAGUCCUGGGGCUGCAUUGCGUGUGAGCAGGGCUGGGAGGUGGAAGGCGGUUGUCCCCUAGGUGGUUACUGGUGUCACUGGCUGAGGAUGUUUGCCCAUGGAGCUGAGGGGACCAAAAAUAUUAAUUGUCUGUAAUGGAGAUGAAUUAGUGCUUGCGGUGUUUCAGGCGGGUUCAGUGGAAGUGCAGCUUAGCGCAGCCCUGUGGAGCGAUUCUUGCACAUGCUCACGUUUGAACGGUGGCUUAAACUAAGCUUAUAAACAGCAACUGCAACAUGAUUCUGGUGCGUGUCUUCCUGUUCUGCUGCCCUUCUAAAUGAAGGGGAAACUUCUUAAGCGGUAGGCAAAACUCCUUGGCUUCUUUUUACUGUUCUCAUGUUCACUUGGGCUUUGGGUUUUCUUGUUUAAAGCUGAGGGUUUGGAGUUUUUCACUUAAGGUUUAUUGUUUAGUUUGUUGUUGAGGGUCUCUCACUCAGGUUAUGGUUUAUUACUUUAUUUUGUGGGGUUCAGUCUUUUAUCGGUCAGGGUUUACAGUUCCCUGACUUAGCGAUCAGGGUGCGGGAUUUAAAAUCCAACCUCAUCCGUAAAUUUUGAAGUCUCUGCAACCAUUUCAGUUCCAGGGUUUCAGUUUGUCACUUAGGGUUCAGGGCUUACACCUUACUGGUAAAUGACCAGGGCUACAUCCUUAGAUAAUAAACGGUAAACCCUGAAGCCUAAGCAGCAGGCUGCAAACCCUUCUUUGGGGUUUAUAACCUUCCUUUAUAACCCAGCCUUCAGCUUUGUGCACUGACCCGAGGUCUGGAUUUGAUACGGCACAGGCCCAUCACACAGAGCGGUGAUGUGACGGGUGAGCCGAGAGCUCUGAAAGUGUCUUGCAGGGCUCUAGUCUGGGGUACAGUGGAAGUGAGAGAGAGGCAAGAUCAGACAUGUUCCUCUCACCUGUCAGAGCUGAAUCCUAUCCCUGGAGGAAAAAGCAGAGGGGUAGGCUGUCAGCUACUCAGACAGCUGCCACGUCAAGGGCAGCAGCAGGAGCUGACCCUUCCCCAAUGGACCAGUGCACGCUGGUCUGGAGAUGACUCUUCAGGUGUCACAGGGUAAGGGGAAGCAUGCUGGCACUGAGCUCCAUGGCAGCCUUGCUCCCAGGUGUUGUUUCUAUGCAGUAAAACAAUAAACAGUUGCUUUGCUCUUUGCACUCGUUGUCUGUGGUUCCUGCCAUCGCUUUGCCAUUACUUUGGGGUUCCUGCGGUUCCCAGGGAACCCAGUGCUGUUCACAGGGGUGUGGGGACUUCCCCUGCCUUGCCUUGACCCUCGGGGCUCUUAGUGGAGCUUCCCAUUAUCCUGGGGGCAGCCAGGGCCCCCCAGGGCUGUGUGAGGUCCCCAAACUGCUCCCAGAUUUGCUUUCAGCACUCUGCAAUGCCCCUCGUGCGUCUGGGGCUGGGGCCUGUGUGCCUGGUGCUGGGAGACGGAGUUUCCAUGGGGCCAGGAAGAGUCUGCAGGCACCUUCCCAUCAGCUGCACUGAGCCCCGUGACAUGCCUUUUGGCCUCUUUGGUGUGCACUAAGACCCUUCACUUGAAUUUUGGUUUGUCCCAGAGCCCUACAUUUGCCCUCUGAUGCCCUCACGACCCCUCAAUUCACUUUUUCAAGUGCCCCCAAGCUCUCUGUGUGCCCUGGGGCCCUGUGUUUGUUUUGCAGCAUGCCACAAAGUUCUCUGUUUAGCUUUCUCCCCUGGCCAGGAGUUUUCUGGAUGCUGUUUGGUGUGCCCCAGAGCCCUGCCUUUGUGUUUUGGUGCCCUCACAAUCACUCUGCCCUAUCUUCGCGUGGUAACUUUCUUUUUUUAACUUUUGUUGACCCAGAGCUCUCCAUUUAUUCUCUUGUGCCCUGAAUACUCCUUUUUCCUCUCUGUACCCCCCAGGGCUCUCCCUUCAGCUUUCAGCAAGCACCUGGGGGGAGCUGAGGUGCCUCUGCUGCCCUGGUAGCCUCAGCUGUCCCUGAUGGGGCUGAUGGCAAUUCCCUGCAGCUGUGGGCCCGGGGGCUGGGACAAACUGCAGGUGUGGUGGAGGGGGUAGGGGGGAAGCCCCAGGUGGGGCUGGGGGCACUGAUGGCCACGGCAGGCAUGCGCCGGCAUCGGGACCGUAGUUGGGGGAAGCUCGGGCAAGGGGCG